rnacentral:rRNA from 1 species
GGUUAAGCGACUAAGCGUACACGGUGGAUGCCCUGGCAGUCAGAGGCGAUGAAGGACGUGCUAAUCUGCGAUAAGCGUCGGUAAGGUGAUAUGAACCGUUAUAACCGGCGAUUUCCGAAUGGGGAAACCCAGUGUGAUUCGUCACACUAUCAUUAACUGAAUCCAUAGGUUAAUGAGGCGAACCGGGGGAACUGAAACAUCUAAGUACCCCGAGGAAAAGAAAUCAACCGAGAUUCCCCCAGUAGCGGCGAGCGAACGGGGAGCAGCCCAGAGCCUGAAUCAGUGUGUGUGUUAGUGGAAGCGUCUGGAAAGGCGCGCGAUACAGGGUGACAGCCCCGUAC